rnacentral:rRNA from 1 species
AUUGAACGCUGGCGGCAGGCUUAACACAUGCAAGUCGAACGAGUGGCGGACGGGUGAGUAAUGUCUGGGAAACUGCCUGAUGGAGGGGGAUACCUACUGGAAACGGUAGCUAAUACCGCAUACCAUCAGAUGUGCCCAGAUGGGAUUAGCUAGUAGGUGGGGUAAUGGCUCACCUAGGCGACGAUCCCUAGCUGGUCUGAGAGGAUGACCAGACACACUGGAACUGAGACACGGUCCAGACUCCUACGGUAGGCAGCAGUGGGGAAUAUUGCACAAUGGGCGCAAGCCUGAUGCAGCCAUGCCGCGUGUGUGAAGAAGGCCUUCGGGUUGUAAAGCACUUUCAGCGAGGAGGCGUUACUCGCAGAAGAAGCACCGGCUAACUCCGUGCCAGCAGCCGCGGUAAUUC